CGUAGCGUGAUCUGGGCCUGCGCAGGAAGGAAACAGGGAAGGAUACAAGUGCCAAGCCAGACCGAGCCUUUAACACAUGGACCUUGGAGACAUUCGAGAUCCAAACUUCAGCAAGUGCUCAGAGAAUGAGAAAGAUGAAGGUCAUUCACCCUCCAGCCCUGCCUGGAGGACUCAGAAGGGCGUCCUGCUGGCCAGAGGAUGACAGAUGGCACCCCUUCCCUUGUAUGCAGGGGAGACUGCCUUGGCCUGAUUCUGUCCAGUUAACAAAACAGAGGGCUCUGCCAAGACAAACAGCCGAGAACUUUAAGCAAGCACAUUUCUACAAUAUUUUUUCUCCCCAAGAAAGCCCAUCACUUUCUGAGUGCACCAGAAACAAGCAGGCUGAUCUGAUUUAUGAACCCCUCACCCACAGGCCACUGCCACAUACCACCCCCUUGGUCCUGGGCCUCACUUGUCAGCCGAGUGCACACAGGGCUCAGGACAAUGUCAAAGACUGCUGUCUCUUCAGGCGUGUCCGCGGUGAGAAAAUUCACUGGGCUGUUUGCUUGUGUGGGCACAUUUCUGGGUGCAUCUCAUACUCCAACAGAGAAUUCAUGAUUUAAAUAAACA